CCUACGGGUGGCUGCAGUGGGGAAUAUUGGACAAUGGGGGGAACCCUGAUCCAGCGACGCCGCGUGAGUGAAGAAGUAUUUCGGUAUGUAAAGCUCUAUCAGCAGGGAAGAAAGAAAUGACGGUACCUGACUAAGAAGCCCCGGCUAACUACGUGCCAACAGCCGCGGUAAUACGUAGGGGGCAAGCGUUAUCCGGAUUUACUGGGUGUAAAGGGAGCGUAGACGGUUACGCAAGUCUGGAGUGAAAGGCGGGGGCCCAACCCCCGGACUGCUUUGGAAACUGUAUAACUGGAGUGCAGGAGAGGUAAGUGGAAUUCCUAGUGUAGCGGUGAAAUGCGUAGAUAUUAGGAGGAACACCAGUGGCGAAGGCGGCUUUCUGGACUGAAACUGACGCUGAGGCUCGAAAGCGUGGGGAGCGAACAGGAUUAGAUACCCGAGUAGUC
rnacentral:rRNA from 1 species